rnacentral:misc_RNA from 1 species
AUGUCGGACACAAAAGAGGUAUCUGAUGAUCCGAUGGAGCUUGGAACGAGUUCAACAGUUAUCGCUAAGGAGGAAAAUGACAAGGAAAGCCUGAAAAGAAUGGAAGUAGACGAUGAGAAAGAACCUGAAGAAGAAAUCGUUGAGAAAACUGAAGAGAAACAGGAAGAAGAAGACGUGACAGUAAAGCUAGAAGAUGAAACAGAAACUGAGGUGGAAAGUGUGGAUGGUGGUCAAGAAGAAAAAGAAGUUGUUGAUGAAAAACAGGUGGAUGCAGAGCGAGUAAAUACCAAAACAGAAGAGUUAUCACCGAAAAAAGAAGUUAAAGCGGAGGAAGAUCCUGAAACUGAAACAAAGAAGAAGGAUCCUUCUGAGCAAACGAAUGGUCAGGUCAAAAAGAAAAGUGAUAAGCAGAGUCCAAAAAAGAAAGAGAAAUCUGAGGGAAAAGAAAAUAGUCCCGGCUCAAAGCUCACCAACAGAGAUCAUAUUCUUGACCAUCUUGAUAUAAAACGAGACGCAACCAACCGUGUGAAGCUUUACGUUCUCUGCGAUCAACGAAUCUGGGAGGACCGAGGUACUGGUCAUGUCGUCACUCAUCAGUUAUCAGCUGAAGAUGGAGCUCCGUCGAAUGCUGGAAAUACAAUGGUCCUCGUCCGACUUGAGGGGCAAAAUAAAAACAUGCUCGAGUCACGGAUUCAGAUGGACACAGUCUACCAAAAACAACAGGAAACUCUAAUUGUUUGGUCCGAAACCGAUGUGAUGGAUUUGGCAUUAUCAUUCCAAGAAAAGUCGGGAUGCGAAGAAUUAUGGCAAAAAAUCUGCGAAGUACAAGGGAGAGAUCCUGGAGAUCCUGAUGCCACUUUCGAUGACGGAGACGACAGUGAUGUUGGAGAAAUGCCAUCAUCUGCUAGUCGCCUACAACUUCCGCCAAUUGAAAUUGGGAGGCUGGGUGAGCUUGAUGCGCUUCUUCAUAUGCAUCUUACGACAAACAGUGCCAGGGAAAAAAUGACUCUUGCUAUAGAAAACGAUAAUGUCGUUACAAAACUUUGUGAAGUUUUCCGGAUGUGCGAAGAUAUUGAACAUACAGAAGGACUACGAACUUUUUAUUCAAUCGUGAAGAACCUGUUCAUGCUCAACCGAAACACUGUUAUCGAAAUGCUUCUCGACGAUAAUAAUAUCAAAGACGUAAUAGGGAUGUUUGAGUUCGAUCCGGCUUACAAACAUCCAAGGAAGCACCGUGAUUUUGUCUAUAAAAAGGCCAAAUUUCGCGAGGUUUUGAACAUUUCAUGUGACGAACUUCGCGACAAGAUUCAUCGGCUCUACCGUGCUCAAUACAUUCAGGAUGCGUGUCUUCCCAGUUUGGGACUUUUCGAAGAAAAUCUUCUCUCCACACUUAGUAGUCAUGUAUUUUUCUGCCGUGUCGACAUUGUAACGCUACUUCAAAAAGACAAAAAAGCAAUGUCUGAGCUUUUUGGGCAACUGAUCAGUGAAGAAACAGAUGUUAUUCGUCGGCGAGAUCUGGCACUUUUCCUAAAAGAGAUGAUUAGCCUAAGUACCAGCAUCCCAUCAAACGGACCAGCCGCGACAAAGGAAACCUUUUUCAAAGUAGUGUGAUAGUGAUUUUCGACUUAUCUAUAAUGUAAAUUUGUAGUUACAGCUCCAGAACAUGUUCAACUCUGAGAUUUUGGAUUCGCUGGAGCCUUGUUUCAAAUCACCUGAUCAUGAAACAAGAGCAGUAAUGGUGGAUGUACUUCGAACAAUGGUCGAUGCGAAUGCUCAAAUGAUCCGUGACUUUCUGCUCAAGCAAUCCAAAACGAAAGACAAAAAUGAGGAUGUGCUGCUGAAUAUGAUGAUCAGACAUUUGUUAACUGAUAUUGAUGUUCAUUUGACGUCUGGAUCAGAGAUUGUUUUGAUUAUGAAAACUCUGCUAGAUCCCGAAAAUAUGACAACAGUGAAAUCAGAAAGAAGCGAUUUCUUGCAGCUAUUCUACAAUCGUUGCUACGAAAGUCUUCUAAAGCCAAUUCUUGAGAAUGUCAGCGGAGGAAAUAUCAAAAAGGAUGAUUACAUGAUUGCCAAUCGUCAAUCGGUUAUUCUUCGACUUUUAACAUUCUGCGUAGAACAUCACUCAUUUUCAAUGCGACAACGAUGUGUAUCAAAUGAUUUGAUGAAUAAGGUUCUUGUAUUGCUCAAGUCGAAGCAUUCAUUCCUUGUCUUGUCUGCACUGAAGCUUCUUCAACGUGUGGUUACUGUCAAAGAUGAUAAAUACAUUCGGUACAUUGUGAAGGAGAAGGUUCUGGACCCAGUCAUGGAAUGUUUCCGUAAAAAUGGCAACCGCUAUAACAUUAUCAACUCUUCUGUCUUGCAUUUGUUCGAGUUUGUGAGAAGCGAAGAUGUUCGUCCACUCAUAAAAUAUGUUGUCGAAAAUCAUAUGGAAGUCGUUGAUUCUGUAAACUAUGUAAAAACAUUCAAAGAGAUCAAGAUUCGAUACGACCAACAUCGUGAUCGUGAAGAAACGAUGAGCGUUCGUUCUGAGGACAACUCAUUGGCAAGUCCACGAAGUUUCCGCAAGGAUCGUAAUGAAGAUCAAUGGUUUGAUGAGGAUGAAGACCUGGAAGUUGGAACAAUGCUUGAAUCAAUCGAAAAGGACUCAGUCGCAGUGUCUCCCAAAAAAGAAGAGGCUGGACAGAGGAAGACUGGUAUGGAGCCCAUGUUUCCAUCAUUACUGAAGCGCAAAAAUGCAUUUGAUGACGACGAAGCUCCAGUAUUCGGUGGAGGAUCUGCUGCUGUUAUUAAUAAUACCGAAAAGAAAAUUGUUAUAAAGGUUAACAGCGAUCGUUCUCCGUCUCGUACACCGUCUCCUGCAUCGUCGCCCCGAGCAAGUUCCUCACCAGGACCAUCCAGAGACGAUGAAGUAACUUCAUCUCAAAACAACAAAGAAAGCAGUCCGACUCCUACGGUCAAGUCGCUGGUCGAUUACGACGAAUCGGAUGAUUCUGAUGAUGAUCCACCAUCUCCUGACGCAGUUCCCUCAUCUUCAACUGGAAGUCCUGAAAAAGAAGGAGACUCCGCUGAUGGAAAGAAAGGAGAUUCGCCAGAAUAUAACGAUGUAUCGUCAACUAGCAACGAAGAGAAGUUCGACUCACGAAACGGAGCGCCAGUCACUAAUGAAAACGGAGGAGUAGAAGCUGCGGCACCAACAGUUGAAAUCAGCCGUAAACGCACUAGUGACGGUAUUGAUCCUGAUGCAAAGAGAAUUCGAACUGAAGAGACUGCACCAGCGGCAACUGCCACAGUUUCGCAGGCCUAA